rnacentral:rRNA from 1 species
AUGCCGGAGAGAGUUGUGGAAGAUGACCAGACAAUCUUCUCGAGCCUAGGAGUAGACCCGCUGUUGAAGACAAUCUUGGUGAUGGCUGAGCAGUCAACAACAAGGAGGUCUUAUGCUUACAGUUACACAUUUCAAGUGAAGAGCCAUGAUUGCUGCAUGCAUCUGCACAUUUCAAGUGGAUUGCAGAUGGACACAUCCUCUACGCGAGCAGAGGAACUUGUCAGCAUACUGGCUUCUUCACCAGCAAACAGCGGGAGAAACUACGCGAGCUACCAACCAAAUACAUGCCAACAUACAGCUGAAAACAAUGUCGAUUCUUCACUAAUGCUUGUCUGGCAAUCAGGAGAUGCAGACAGAUUGUGGAUCACACAUUCUUAA